rnacentral:rRNA from 1 species
CGUAGGGUGCGAGCGUUAAUCGGAAUUACUGGGCGUAAAGCGUGCGCAGGCGGUUUUGUAAGACAGGCGUGAAAUCCCCGGGCUCAACCUGGGAACUGCGCUUGUGACUGCAAGGCUAGAGUACGGCAGAGGGGGGUGGAAUUCCACGUGUAGCAGUGAAAUGCGUAGAGAUGUGGAGGAACACCAAUGGCGAAGGCAGCCCCCCUGGGUCGAUACUGACGCUCAUGCACGAAAGCGUGGGUAGCAAACAGGAUUAGAUACCCUGGUAGUCCACGCCCUAACCGAUGUCAACUAGGUGUUGGGUGGGUAAAACCAUUUAGUACCGGAGCUAACGCGUGAAGUUGACCGCCUGGGGAUACGGCCGCAAGGUUA